rnacentral:pre_miRNA from 1 species
GAUAGAAAAGUUAACGUUUGUUAACUUUGUUGAUGUAGAAUAUAUGUGGAUUGUCAAGUAAUCAUUUAAUUAAUUUUUUAAAAUUAAAAAAUAUUAAAAUAUUUUUUUAUAAUUUCUAUAAUUAUUUUUAAUUUUUAAAAAUAUUAUAUAUAUUUUUGAUUUUUUUAAAAUCUAAAAAUUUAAUUAAAUAUUGAUGUGUCAUCCACUUGGCAAUCCAUGUGUAUGCAACAUCAACAAAGUUAGAAAAAUGUUAACUUUUUCAUUCA